UAUGAGUUAUGUGUGUGCAUAUGAGCUGGGUGGGUGUGUGUGACAAUGAUAUGUGUGUGUGGCUGUUGCAAAAGCCUCGAAGACAUAAAAAUUACAACAGCAGCAGCAAAACACAAACAAAAACGCUUGACAAACAGACUACGACUAAACGAGGGUAUAUACAGGGUAUGUGCACACAUACAUACACAUAUAUACGUAUGUGUGCCUGGCAUAAGUCAAAAUCUAAAUAACCGCAAGUGUUAAUAUGCGCGAGCAGACACCCUCGACGAAGGCGUUGUCCACCAGGAUACGUAAGGAAGCCAAGGCUAGGGGUAGAAGCUGCAGCCCUGGAGUGGGAGGCUAGAGUUGGGGGCGGGCCGUGCUCUGUCUUUCUCUCAGCCCAUCGGCACUCGUGAGGGAGGCCCUGCAAGAGCUCGCCAAGGUACGUUGGCAUUGUCAAGACCAUCUCCUCCCAGCCCCUCCUGCCCGCAGUCCGUUCCAUCAACCUCGCUCACAAUGCACUUUAGCCUCUUUCCUCCAGUCUUUGAGGUGUUUCACUUACCUUUUAGCUGUUUUCCUGCUGUGUUCACAAAUGGCGAUAAAAGUUGGAAGAAAAUCAACUGUGAAGAGAAGUAAACAAGAGAAGAGAAAAAUGGAGUUAGAGCAAGACAAAAUGAGUAAAGUAAAUACGAAAGAAAGAGAGAGGUGAGAGCUGUCGCAAGCUCGAUUGAUUCUGCUCGAAGCUCGAAUACUGUCGAAAAGCUAUUGAGAAGUGCCCCUAUCCUAUCCAACUCAUGGAUAUUAGAUGGAAUGAAGAAGAUGCCUAAACUCCUUGUAGACCUUGGGAACUGUUGCGUUCUAUUUGAAUGUGUGGGUCCUAGCCAAAGGUCUAGCUGAGAAGCGAGCAUAUGCCAGCUGUCGCAAUGCAAAUCAGUGGCCAUUGGACUGUCGCCCCCAAUGGGUGUCAAUAGAACUGCAGCGAUAACGAUAGCGAUAACGAUAACCAUGACUAAGAGAAUGACGAUGGCGAUGACGAGGAUGAUGAGACACCACUAAGGGGCGCAGCAUUAAUUAGCUUCAAAUUCCCAUAUAACCAAAAUGUUACUAAGGCCUUCGUGCAACGACUAGCAGAUACCUCGUAAGCGCUUGCGAUGAAAGACUGAUAGAUGCCCUGUUUCUAAGUAUAGUAAGUCUUAGAAAAGAUCUUCAGAUAAUAAGUGACUUGUAGAUAACCUCUAUAAAUAUGGAUGGAUAGUAA